rnacentral:pre_miRNA from 1 species
AUACAAAUUACCUGGGGACCUUGUUCAAAUGUAGAUUUUGAUUCACUAGGUCUCCAGUAGGGUUUGAGAUUCUGCAUUUCUAACAAGUUUCCAAGAGAUGCCAGG